UGUAACACACAAAUCUAUAACAUCUAUAAAAAAGUAGGUAAGAAUGGUAUAAUGCUGCUGCUUUUGGGUGUAAUUCUGCUAGCCAUCCAAACGGUGCACCAUGUGCUCAAAAGAAGGCCUAGAAUUGCAGUAUGUUCAAUUCUCUGAAUCUCUGUUCUCCAGAGAUGACGUGCCUCAAGUUGCUUCUUCUAUGUAGGUAAGCAGGGGUGUUUCGGUGGGUACCAAAUGGACAACCAACCCAAAUUGCACCUCAAUCAAGUCGCACAACAGAAGUUACCCUAAUUGAGGCUUAUCUGCAGAAAACAGAGAAGAGAAACAAACAAAGGUUUCUUCUCAAUUAUGUUCACCUGAGUGGACUUUUCAUCCUUUCAUUUUCAAGAACAAAAAAAUCUACACAGCUUUAAUUUGGUGUGGGGUUAUGGCAUUUUUAUUUGUAUAAUUUACUCAAUAUACUUUAAAAAGUAAACAAUUCAAAUUAUCAAAUUGAGACUCAGAAUGAGUUCCAUUUGACGAACAACGGUGACUUCUAUGCGCAAUGCAGAACAACCACAUUGAUUUAUUGUUGUCUCUUAACAAGAAUAUUGGCUGUUAAAAUUCAGGUCAAAUGCAAUAAUUGAACCUUUGUGAACUAAGAGACAUUAACAGAAUAAAUUAACAUGAGAUAAAAACAGAGAACUAAUUUUCCAUUCACUAGAUUUUGGCCUCACCUCUCAGAUCCACCAAUUUCACAUUUUCUCCACACACAAACACAGAGAAUUGGACAAGGCUAAACUAAAUUAUGGAAAAAAGACUUUAGAACAUAGAGUUUGGCUUGUUUCCAGACCCCCCCAAAAAAGGGGGGUAAGGCCUAAAUUGAUAAUUUGUCAAUUAGACAAACAAAACUUUGUAAAGAACUUCGGUUACUAUAUUUUGAAUGUCAUUUGAUAUAUGUAUAUAUAUAUUAACAAUACAUUGAUUAAUUUAUAAAACUAGUUUCUACAAAUCCUCAUUGGUUCUACCUGAGCAAACAAAAUAAUAGAAUCAAUAGCCUUUUUAUAUCUUUCCCUAAUUGGUUGUUAUCAAAUUUAAUUGGAAAGAAAUUACAAAUUCCUGAUGAUGGACUCUAAAACCAAAUCAACAAUUAAAAAAAAAAAAAUGAUGUGACAUAGACCAAACUAAUCUAUCGCAUUUGGACUAAGCAAUCAAAUAGAGCAAACCCCAAUUGUAAUGUAUAGCAUUCACCAAAAAUCUGUGUUUCUCAAUAAGAAUUAUGUUCAACAAACAAGUUUUCCAAUAAGUCAUGACUUGGAUUCAAAUAUUUGUUUUUAUUUCCUUUCAAUGUUACGUAUCUUGUUAUGAAGAAAUAGUGGACAGGAUUUGUUCAACAUACCAAGGCAUUGUUCAUUUUCUUGCAAUUCGUGGGAGUAGGCAACUGUUCAUCAAUUCUACCAUUUAUAGCUACAAAAUGCACUACCGUGUGCAGAGAGGUUUGUUGGAAUCUACUCCUCUUGGAUGACCCUUUUUCAACUUCUUGUUCUUGAUUGUUUUGAAUUGGGAUUUUAAAUUCCUGUUGUUGUUUUACUUCUCUUUAUUCAGUCUAUGAGUAAUUAUUGGAAGAAAGAUUUAUAGUAUCUUACUAUCGACUACAUCCUACAUGUUGGAAUCAUGUUCAUUUUGUAAAAUCGUAAUGUAAAUGUAAUCUUCCUAUGUUGAGAUCACAUUGUUUUCAACUAACUAUUUGUGAAUGUUUAUUAUAGAAUGUUGUUUAUCCAAGGAAUUUGCUUUAUUUUAAUUUUUUAAGGAAUUUGUUUCUGCUUCAGCAAUGGUAGCGACAACUCUUUCGACAUUACAAAAUUGCUAUAGAUUGGGAUAAGAUGUCAAGAGUUGCAAUUGCUGGAUGGCCAUGUCAAGCAAUUGAAACUUGCAACAUCGAUUUGCAGGUGAACUUGGAAUAUCUUAAAGUGGUAUUAAACACAAAAGGCAUGGCUUUACCAUGAUAUUGGGAAGUUGGCAAGAUAGAAGAUGAAGCUGUAAUGCAGGUCUAAGGGUCGACACCAAAAUAAUAAGGGUCGACACCAGAGUGAAGCUCAAAAUGUCUAAGUGUUCCAGAAGCAAGGGUCGACACUAAAUUUCAGUGUGCAACCCAGAAGCAAGGGUUGACACCAAGGACAACAAGGGUUGACACUAAAUUUUAGUGUGCAACCCAGAAGCAAGGGUCGACACCAAGGACAACAAGGGUCGACACUAAAUUUCAGUGUGCAACCCAAAAGCAAGGGUUGACACCAAGAACAGCAAGGGUCGACACUAAAUUUCAUAAUGCAAUCCAACAGCAAGGGUCGACACCAAGAGCAACAAGGGUCGACACUAAAUUUCAGAAUGCAAUCUAGCAGUAAGGGUUGACACCAAGAAUGAUAAGGGUCGACACUAGGAACACUUGGAACUCAAUUCAGAGAAGAGAAGAAAACGAAGGGUCGACACCCAAUCUGCAGGGGUCAACACUUGUAAAUUUGGGUGUUAAAAAUCCCACCUACCAAAUCAGAUCUCGACUGACACAGCCCUUUUCUCAACCACUUUUUCAAAGUUAUGUGCAGAAUAUGUCAUUUUUUCUGACCUCUGAGCAGAUCUUCUGGCACCAUAUCCUCUCCAAGAAGUUGACCUAUGAAAGAGAACAUUAAAUGAAAAACUUUUGCAUUUAAUGAUCCUUUUCUUCCCAAGACCUGUAUACAGUCCACCUUCUCCAUAUUUUAAUCAAAUACAGCUGGAAGAUUUCCUCCUUGAUUUGCUCCAAUGGCUAGGAGAUUCAAAUCUCCUCUCUUUAAUAGUUAGAAGCCAUUAAUGCUAUAAAGAUGAAGCUCUUCUUAUUCGAUCUACACUUCUUUAAUACAAAGAAACCCAGAGCAUUAAAAAGCAAUCAAGAGCUUUUAAUAUACUCCAUUGUACUUCUAUUUUCAUAUCCGAGUGAGUCUUAACUUACCUAUGAGCUUACACUUUCAUAUCCAUCUUUUGAGAGAGAAUAUUUGUAAAAGAGGAUAGUUAACCUCUUCUCUUGUUCUUUAUUUUCUGAGUGAAACACUUGUAAAGUGAGGCAUUUAGUUGAGAGGUCCUCAAUAGAUUGAAGUAAGUCCUUUGUAAAAAUCUAUAAGCUAGGUGAAACUUGGUGGUGCAUUGAUUCUUAGUGAAGAAAUUCUCAAGGAGGUCUCUUAAGGAGUGGAUGUAGGCCGGUGAGCCGAACUACUAUAAAUCCUUGUGUUGAGCUCUUCUUUCAUUUCCUUUUAUUUUCCGUGCAUUUAUUGAUUGUUUGUUGCAUUUAAUCACUUAGUCUUUUGAAAUCUUUUUCUGGCCAAAAUUUUUAAUUAAACCAAUUCACCUCCACUUUUGGGUUGCUUUCCUAUUUAACAAUUGGUAUCGGAGUCUUGUCUCCAGUAUUGUGACUUAACCGUCU